CGAGUCUUAACUGGGCGAAUGAGUUGCAGGGUAUAGACCCGAAACCCGGUGAUCUAUCCAUGGGCAGGUUGAAGGUUGGGUAACACUAACUGGAGGACCGAACCGACUAAUGUUGAAAAAUUAGCGGAUGACUUGUGGAUGGGGGUGAAAGGCCAAUCAAACCGGGAGAUAGCUGGUUCUCCCCGAAAGCUAUUUAGGUAGCGCCUCGUGAACUCAUCUUCGGGGGUAGAGCACUGUUUCGACUAGGGGGUCAUCCCGACUUACCAACUCGAUGCAAACUGCGAAUACCGAAGAAUGUUAUCACGGGAGACACACGGCGGGUGCUAACGUCCGUCGUGAAGAGGGAAACAACCCAGACCGCCAGCUAAGGUCCCAAAGUCAUGGUUAAGUGGGAAACGAAGUGGGAAGGCUCAGACAGCCAGGAUGUUGGCUUAGAAGCAGCCAUCAUUUAAAGAAAGCGUAAUAGCUCACUGGUCGAGUCGGCCCGCGCGGAAGAUGUAACGGGGCUAAACCAU
rnacentral:rRNA from 1 species